UCCAGUAAUAUCCUUUCAGAUGUGUAUCCAUUCUGCCUUCAUAACUGGUUUUCUUACAGUAAUAAAAGCCAUCAUUUAUCUUUCUGACAACAGAAGGAAAGAAACACACAGAAGAAACAUGGUUGUAAGGCCUAGCAAGACAAAGGGAGGAAAAGGGGAAGAAACAACACAGGACAUCCUCUUCUAGGAAGACAGAAGUGAAAGGAACAUGAAGCAGAUAAUGGAUUUAUAAAUUAGGAAAUUAAUUUUUAAUCUUCAUUGCUCGGUGGAUGAUCAUCACUCCAGUGGACACCAGAAAGCCAAAUCAUGUGAAACUCAACUCAGCAUUCACUCCAUCCCUGAACCAAAGAUGUCUGUGUGCUUCACCAUCUGCUACUUCUCCAGUAUUCUUUUAAAGCCACUUGCUUAAUUGUCCACAGAAGCUUAUUCUCAUGUAAUCAGGAACUGACUUGACAGGACAGGUCUCAGAAAGUAAGGAGAUCUAUCAAAGUUUAUUUAACUGAAUUCAGGCUAUAUUCUUGUGCAAUUGUUUUCUAUGUAUUUUGUGGAGACAAAGUGAAGUUAUGGCAGCUGCUGUUUCUGCUUUGUCUUUUUUCCUGGAAACAGGCACAGUCAGAAGAGUAUUUGUGAGGGCUAUAUUCUGACUUGUCUUCUCCCUCACACCUGCAAGAAGACAGUUCUUGACAUCAUCUCAGGAGUUCUGGAAGGAGAAACACAAGAGAAAAAGAUUGGGCCAUUAAUACAAAACAGAAUGGAACUAAAGGGUAUGAAAAAGUAAUUUCCUCUGAGGACAUAGUUGAGGUUUAUUGGCAGGAGCACAUGACAUACUUAAUUAUCAUAAUUAAAAUCCCACUCCAUGGAAUAGCAGCAGUCUGAACAAACACAGACCACAGUGACCACAAUUGCAGUGCACAGGCCAGAAGCGGCUGCUAAACCUUGAAUGAAAGGCCAGUCCUGGUUCGAGGGAUCUUCAAGUAAUACAAGUGUGCAUUGCUGACACAGUGGCAUCUGACUGAGCUGGGCUCCGAUUCAUCGUACCAGGGACCUCCACAGCGGUUCUGGACUGCAGAUUGUGUGCAGUGUACCACUUCUACCAAGUGAUGCAUCUCUUCCUUCCACAUGAUUUAUGGGCAUAAUUUGAGGUAUGGCCUUUUUAGUUCGAAAGUGUCAUUCACAUCCUGUAACAAAGGUAAUGUAACAGAGGCAAGUAACAUUUCAAUUUAUUUUUAGCGUUCGGUAUGAGGACCAAGUUGUAAGUAGCAGUCUGAAGAGUAUUAUCUGUCUCACCAUUAUCAUCAGGCAUCAUGACCCCCUUACCUCAUGGAUUUGACUGAAAGUCCAGUCUAGCCUCUUAACAAGAGUGUUGCAGCAGCCUACCCCAUAGCAAGUUACUGAUCCUGCACAAUGCAAUCUGAUAUAGAUGCAGGCGUCCGUGGGAAGAAACCAGUCUGGUACCAGCAGUCUGUUCCUGCCACCUAUGAUGGAUGUUUCUGCUGUCUAAGCCCAUUGCCUCAGAACAAAGAAUGGAACUGCUGUCGCAAGAGACUGAUGCCCCUAGCAUUGCUCAGGAAACCAUGAACUCGAGUGAACUUUGCUUAUUAUAAUGUCAUUUAAAUACCAAAACACACCUGCUGGCCUCAGGCUACCUGCCUCUGAGGCCAGCCACACCUUGGGCCCAGGCCACACCUCAGUCACUCUUCCUUCAGCAUGUGUAUAAGCACUACUUGUGGGAGGCUUGAGGGGUGGAGAGAGGCAGAGUUCAGUCAUCAGCAGGUGCGAAAUCACAUAUAAAAGAGGUCUCCCUAUCAACAGGUGAAAACUCUCUGAAGGCUACAUGAACAAGAAAAGAACAGAAGCACCAGCAAGACUGGACCCUGGGGCCAGAGAGAUGUCUUUGGGACUCUCGCAUUGUUGGUAGCUACAGACCUUUUUCUCUUUUCCCUCCUCACUUUACUUUUCCCUUAUUCUCCUCUCACACUACCUCUUAUGGCCAAACAAUAAAGU